rnacentral:rRNA from 1 species
UACGUAGGUGGCGAGCGUUGUCCGGAUUUAUUGGGUUUAAAGGGUGCGUAGGCGGCUUUGUAAGUCAGUGGUGAAAUACUCCAGCUUAACUGGAGGGGUGCCAUUGAUACUGCGGAGCUUGAGUACAGAUGAGGUAGGCGGAAUUGACGGUGUAGCGGUGAAAUGCAUAGAUAUCGUCAAGAACACCGAUAGCGAAGGCAGCUUACUGGGCUGUAACUGACGCUGAUGCACGAAAAGUGUGGGGAUCAAACAGG